rnacentral:rRNA from 1 species
CUUUACUGUAGCCUGGUAUUGGGUUCGGGCUUUGACUGCGCAGGAUAGGUGGGAGACUAUGAAGCUGCCCUUGUGGGGUCAGUGGAGUCAUCAGUGAGAUACCACUCUGUCAAGGCUAGAAUUCUAAACGUCUGCCGUUAUCCGGCGACGGAACAGUAUCAGGUGGGCAGUUUGACUGGGGCGGUCGCCUCCUAAAUGGUAACGGAGGCGCGCAAAGGUUCCCUCAGGCUGGUUGGAAAUCAGCCGAAGAGUGUAAAGGCAGAAGGGAGCUUGACUGCAAGAGCAACAACUCAAGCAGGGACGAAAGUCGGCCUUAGUGAUCCGACGGCGCUGAGUGGAAGGGCCGUCGCUCAACGGAUAAAAGUUA